rnacentral:rRNA from 1 species
CGCAGGGUGCAUGGCAGACGGGUGAGUAACGCGUGGGGAACCUACCUCUUUGUGGGGAAUAACGCUCCGAAAGGAAUGGUAAUACCGCAUGAGACCAUGGGCUGGGAUGCUUAUGGUGAAACCCGGGGACCGUAAGGCCUGGGGCAAGGAGAGGGUCCUGCGUCUGAUUAGCUAGUUGGCGGGGUAACGGCCCACCAAGGCGUCGAUCAGUAGCCGGCCUGAGAGGGUGAUCGGCCACACUGGAACUGAGGCACGGUCCAGACUCCUACGGGAGGCAGCAGUGGGGAAUUUUGCGCAAUGGGCGAAAGCCUGACGCAGCAACGCCGCGUGGGUGAUGAAGGUCUUCGGAUCGUAAAACCCUGUCGUCAGGGACGAAGGUUGCAUGUCUAAUAGAUGUGUAACUUGACGGUACCUGGAGAGGAAGCCCCGGCUAACUCUGUGCCAGCAGCCGCGGUAAUACAGAGGGGGCAAGCGUUAUUCGGAAUUAUUGGGCGUAAAGGGCGCGUAGGCGGUGUCUUAAGUGAGAUGUGUAAUCCCCGAGCUUAACUUGGGAACUGCAUCUCAGACUGGGGCGCUAGAGUGCUGGAGAGGGUGGUAGAAUUCCACGUGUAGCGGUGAAAUGCGUAGAGAUGUGGAGGAAUACCAGUGGCGAAGGCGGCCACCUGGACAGUAACUGACGC